AACAAUGAUGAGUACCACCCAUGCAAGAUACAUUUCAGUUUUACGAGUUGCCUAUAUGAUAAUCCGCCACUGGACAUUAAGGUGACCGCUCCGCACCUAACCCGCGUAUACCGUGUUAAGUUUUGUGCAUUAGGUUAAGUUUACGUGUUAGUUUCCAGUUAGUUCGUCAAAAGUUUGCAAGGCGGUAAGCAUUCGUCCUAUCAAUUGAUAUUUUAUAAGACGCCCAGAAAUUACAGCCAUGCGCUGUGCGGUGUUCAUGAAAUCCGAAGGCGUGUAAUUAAUUAUGCAUUCUUUUCUUUUAUCUUAAUUCGCUUAAAUGGCAACGAUUACUGAUAUUUGAAGGAUGAAGUGAGAAAAAGUAUUUAGUUAGGCAGAACACCAUCGAAAGAAAAGCAUCUCUCUGAUUCUCUAAACAUUUAUAAAGGAUUAUGGAUAUUAUGGGACGUCUCGUUUUAUUACUGAUAGUACUAUCACAAGUCACCAUGGUAACGGCACAUAGGUACGGAUUGAACGCCCAGAAAAGACAGAAAACCGAUGACGAAGGAUACAGAAUGGGGUAUAUAUUUGGUAAAAGAUCACAGUUAGACAAUGAUCGUUUAUUAAAAGCCUUUUCAAGACAAACAUUAACAGCUGGUGAGUUUGAGAAUCUGGCUAGUAGAGAUCCAGUCAUUGCUGCCAUCAUUUACAGAACACGAAGUGGAAACGGUGAUAGACUCGUACAAGUAGACGAGAAUCUUUAAAAGAACUGACGAGGGAGGUGGAAAGAAUAUCCUGUGGUAUUGCAGUGCAUUGGCGUGUACAUAACAAAAUAAACAUUUAAUAUUUAAAUGGAUAACUGAUCAUAGAUACAACCAACCAUAAGUGAAAAUAUUUCGCCUAUUCACUGUUAUCAAGUAUUUUCUAUUAAAAUUAAUUAAAAGGCGGAGCUACUUAAUACAACUACCAUCUUAUUUAAAAUUCUAUUCAGCACGUGAUCUCAUUCAUUUACUUAGUACUAUUCAAAACAUACGUAUUCUACCAAUCUGAUUAAAAUACAGAUCCUAUUGCGUUUCGUUUUUCUUUUCGAUUUCGUUUUAAUUUGUCUUUACGUGAAUGACUUCCCACAUUCGGCAAACCUCGACAGAUUCUACGAAUCUAAUCUCGGCUGUAUAACCAUUUCCGCCAUAUUUGAACUAUUUUAAAGGUUCCGAAUGAAAAAUGGCUUCCCCAUGGAGAUUUCUGUGGAGAGUGUAUUAUAUCAACAAACGUCACGUUUGGCAUUGGGUUUGGGGAAUUACCAGGGAAUUUUAUCAAACCAGCAGCCUUGAGACAAUAUCUCUGCUCAUUUACGUAUAUACACUCUACAAAAGACGCAAUUUGGGACUUUUUUGUAAAAGCGACACGUUUUCCUGUUUAAGGUAAACCGGUAGCCGGAUCGCAAAUCUAUGGGCGUAGGCACAUAUCACUUACUGUCAUACAGCCGAGAUUAGAUGUAGGGUAUCGGAAUCUGUCGAGAUUUUCCGAGUGGGUAUAGUCGAUGUUUACCCACAGCGUGCAUGGAAUUGUGGGAAACGACGUAGAGCCGUAAAAGAAAUGAAUAGCCGACAUAAAAAAAGGCCAUUCACCUACAAUGAAUGACCUCUGAAGUAACCCUCCAUGAUACCCGAUCAGAUUCAAUGCAAUGGGUACCAUCUAAAGCAUAACAAAAUAACUAAAUUUCGAUAUUUUAGCCAGAUUGAAUAUUUCUAAUUUUGAAAACGAGAUACGAUCAGUGAAGUUGGUGAUUGUGAGUAUUACUACUAGUAUAUGUUCUUUCUCCAGCUACUAUAAUACUCAUCCAGUAGGGGAUAAUUCCAUUCAUUGGCACUGUUUCGUCUCCAAAAGAAGGAAGCAACGUUGCAUU